AAAUUUAAUAAGGAAAACUUCUUUUUUAACAGUUACAACUUUCCUCAAUAAAUUAAAAUUCCUUUUUUCAGUUUUGGCAAAUGUUUGUAAAUUCAAACUUCAACUACCGGUAUAUAUACUAAGUUAAUUUUUCUUUAUUAAUUUUUUUUGGCUGUGGUAAUAUACCACUAUUUGUGUUUGUAAUCUGGCUGACCAAUGAUUUUUCUUACACACGUAAAAAAAAAAGUUAUCAUAAAAUGAAAUGGCUGCAAUUUACUAUGUCCCACAUACUCGGUAAUCAAUAUUAUUCUGUUGCAAACUAAUUCAACCAUUCAAUCAUGAUCUUGAUAUAUAAACAAUAGGCAGAAUAAAAUGAUGCCCAGUCAGUGGCAGAUCCAGGGGGGGGGUCCAGGGGUCAGAACCCCCCUAUUUUUUGGACGAUCAAUGCAUUUGAAUGUGGACAUAUAGUUAGGACCCCCCCCCCCUUCCCCUUUGUUCUGGGUUGGGAAGCCCCCUUUUUAAAAUGGCUGGAUCCGCCCCUGCCAGUGUUUUUCAUUUAUGGACAGAAAAGCAAUUAACAGUCAAUAAAUGACCUGGUGCAAAUUUAGGGAAGGCAGGUUUAAAAUUUGAUUUUACAACUUAAAAUUAAAUUGCAUUGUAGAAAAGAAUGUCGAUUGAAUGACACCUUAUCUUAGUAAUGGCUUUGUAACAGUCAGUUUCAUUAAUGUUAUUAUAAUUUGAGGGAGCUGAUAAUAAAAUCUUUAUAAUCAUAUAACUACCAGUAUUAUUACCCUUUAGCCCAGUGACCCCUAUAUCAUUCCUAAGAAUUUGGCUGACUUCAGUCGAAAAUUAUGAUAUGACAUACAUGUAGCUUCUACGGUAAUAAUAAAAAAAAAUUGUAACCAGAUCUAUAGACCUUAUGUAAAAAAAUAUCAUUUCAAAGAAAUUAAUUUAUUAUUCUAUUAUACCUUGCAGAAACAAUUUUCAUAAUACAUGAUAAAUAAUAAACACAUGCUUUAUUUCUUUAACCUGUUUUUUAACAUUCACAUAUCAACAGUGGUAGUUUUUCACUGAACUCAGGUUUCAGCAGCAUAUUCAGGUGGAGGAUUCCGGGGGUUGGACCCCCCCUCCUUUUCUAAAUGGCUGGAUCCGCCCCUGAGGCUUAUGACUUCUCAAGAAUGAGACCUUUUACUGCGAAGUGAAAUGAUAAAGAAAAACAUGUCUUUAUUGGCAAAAUUGAAAUGUGACACUUUUACUGAAAGCAUAUAAUUUAAAUUCAUUGGCCACUUAUUUCUCGAAUACACAUGAAGUUGACUGCAUAAAGUAUGCUAAUUAAAACAUUUUUUUUAAUAUCUUGACUGACAACUUA
rnacentral:lncRNA from 1 species